ensembl:snRNA U2 U2 spliceosomal RNA
AUCACUUCUCAGCCUUUUGGCUAAGAUCAAGUGUAGUAUCUAUUCUUAUCAGUUUAAAGAUAUUCAGGCCAGAAGAUACCAUUAUAUGAAACUGCUGUCUUUGUACUUCUCAAUUUUAGUAUUUCACACCAC